GAUGAAGAACGCAGCAAAAUGCGAUAAGUAAUGUGAAUUGCAGAAUUCAGCGAAUCAUCGAAUCUUUGAACGCACAUUGCGCCCGCUGGUAUUCCGGCGGGCAUGCCUGUUCGAGCGUCAUUUCAACCCUCAAACCCCCCGGGUUUGGUGUUGGGGAUCGGCUCUGCCUCACGGCGGUGCCGCCCCCGAAAUACAUUGGCGGUCUCGCUGCAGCCUCCAUUGCGUAGUAGCUAACACCUCGCAACUGGAACGCGGCGCGGCCAUGCCGUAAAACCCCAACUUCUGAAUGUUGACCUCGGAUCAGGUAGGAAUACCCGCUGAACUUAAGCAUAUCAAUAAGCGGAGGA
rnacentral:misc_RNA from 1 species